GAUGAACACUGGCGGCGUGCCUAAUACAUGCAAGUCGAGCGAACAGAUGAGGAGCUUGCUCCUCUGACGUUAGCGGCGGACGGGUGAGUAACACGUGGAUAACCUACCUAUAAGACUGGGAUAACUUCGGGAAACCGGAGCUAAUACCGGAUAAUAUAUUGAACCGCAUGGUUCAAUAGUGAAAGACGGUUUUGCUGUCACUUAUAGAUGGAUCCGCGCCGCAUUAGCUAGUUGGUAAGGUAACGGCUUACCAAGGCAACGAUGCGUAGCCGACCUGAGAGGGUGAUCGGCCACACUGGAACUGAGACACGGUCCAGACUCCUACGGGAGGCAGCAGUAGGGAAUCUUCCGCAAUGGGCGAAAGCCUGACGGAGCAACGCCGCGUGAGUGAUGAAGGUCUUCGGAUCGUAAAACUCUGUUAUUAGGGAAGAACAAAUGUGUAAGUAACUAAGCACGUCUUGACGGUACCUAAUCAGAAAGCCACGGCUAACUACGUG
rnacentral:rRNA from 1 species